ensembl:lncRNA
CUUCAGGAUAACUCUAAAUUGUGGUGACUGGUACCAGCCCCAAGGAUCCACUCUGCCAGCUGAGAAACACAGAGGCGCAGAAGUACGCCAUUCAGUUCCGCAUCUUAUCCUAGCAAUGCUGUCUGAGGCCAUGAUCCUUCAAACACCCACAUAUUAAACCCCCUGUGGAAUAUCAAGUCUGACUAUAUCAACUGCUAACAUGUGACUGAUGGAUGGGUGAUCUGUUCUUGCAAACUGGGAUACCAGGUUGCAGCUGUUGAGAAUGGUGGGGACAUUUGUGUGGACACAGAAACUAUAUGAGAUGGCAGUUACUGCAUCCUCAGGCCCUGACCAGAGGGAUAUGAAUGCCGAGAUAUGGAACACUAUCAGUUUGAUUGCAUCAGAGAAGCCCUUUUUGUGCCAAACUGAAUGCAGUUUUCCAUUGUCCCAAACUGGAUUCUGCCUAUUCACAUUGUGUUUGGAGAGGCUGAAUUUCACCCUUCCACCCGGAGCCACUCCUCUGCCUCCCUUGGCUGUUUGCCUCAUUCUGGAAGUGAAAGAAGAUGGCAGUUACCAGGACAUUCCUCUCACAUAAGAGAAUCCUUGGGUGCCAUGGAUCCAUGCAACUAGGAACCUCCAGCACAGUAUGCUCCGAUCAGCAGCAUGAACCGCAAAUAGUGCCUGGCAGUUGGAGAGCGGCAGAUGCCUGAACACCAUGUUUUUCAUCUCACUGCAAUAUCCUUGACUCAUGCAUCCUGUCUGAGCUAAUGUUAGUUUUCUGAUUGCAGUGUGUCUGGAGCUUUGGAAUCUCAUCAAGAGCCUGAGCUGUUCCAGAAGGGUCACUCCUAGUCAUUAGUAGAUCUAGUUCUGUGUACGCUUUGCUGUCCCCUUGCUGACUAUGUUUGUAAGUGGGCUCAUAGGGCCAAAUUCUGCUGGCAAUUAAACCAGUUUACAGGUGGAAUUACUCUGGAUUUCCACACAAUUUAGAACAUACAUUUAAAAUAGUCAUAAUUUAUUCCCUAGGUAAACUCAAGCCAGAAUGUUACAGUUAUUUUCCAUUGAAGAGAUGGGACUGUCACCCUAUUGUAUAAGCCAGUAAUUCAGCACGCAGAGAAUCCACUGCAAAGUUAGAGUGAAAUGAAUUACCACUAGGGACUAUUGUAUAACCACCCUAUAAUCCCUGUUAUGUUAUCCCAUUACCUCUAUCAUAUGUGGUGCCCCAAUUUAGAAAAAAUGGGGACCAGAAUAUAUCCAUCUGCUGCUUUCUUUACAAAAUGAAAAAAAAAUCUCGUAGAAUUGACACAAUUUUGACAGUUUGACAUUUUUGUUUUCAGGUUUCUUUUUAAUGAAAUAAUUCACUGUAUUCAGUCUGAAUUGGUGAAUCAUUUUGGUGCCCUCCCAAAAUUGCCCAACUCUCCUAGGGACCAUUAUUACAGAAUGACCUAGUACUUUUUUUAAGGUUACGAAAAUAAAGAUUCCUUUAUGUGCUUGGGGAAUGCUCUG